GUGGCAAGCGUUAUCCGGAUUUAUUGGGCGUAAAGGGAACGCAGGCGGUCUUUUAAGUCUGAUGUGAAAACCCGGGGCCCAACCCCGGGACCGCACCGGAUACUGCCGGACUCGAGUGCCGGAGGGGCAGGCGGAAUUCCUGGUGUAGCGGUGAAAUGCGCAGAUAUCAGGAGGAACACCGGUGGCGAAGGCGGCCUGCUGGACGGUAACUGACGCUGAGGCUCGAAAGCGUGGGGAGCGAAC
rnacentral:rRNA from 1 species